AUACUUAUGUUCCCGAGCAUCGCGAGCGUCGUAAAUGUUCUUAUCGGCUUAAUAUAUGAUACGGGGCGUAUUUUGACCCAAUAUAUAAACUCAUUUUUGCAAGUUGGGGAGUGCUUGCAGCCUGCUUCACCUCCCCCGCGGGUCGUCCCGGUAUUGGACUAUCAUCGGGAUUUUCGGUCUACGGACA